rnacentral:rRNA from 1 species
AAAUUGAAGAGUUUGAUCAUGGCUCAGAUUGAACGCUGGCGGCAGGCCUAACACAUGCAAGUCGAACGGUAACAGGAAGCAACUUGCUGCUUCGCUGACGAGUGGCGGACGGGUGAGUAAUGUCUGGGAAACUGCCUGAUGGAGGGGGAUAACUACUGGAAACGGUAGCUAAUACCGCAUAAUGUCGCAAGACCAAAGAGGGGGACC